rnacentral:misc_RNA from 1 species
GAUUUGGACACUCAGAAUUUUGAGAAAUUUCCUGAUUUGGAAGGUCCACCAUCCACAAUACCAAGGGUGGGACCGUGGAGGAAGAUGUUGACAUCAAAAGAUACCAAUUUCAUAGGAUUUACNNNUAAGAAAUCUGACGUCCUUAACUCACUAGAAAGUUCAGGUGCAGAUGUGAAAUCAAAUGUAUCUUCAAAGGCUCCAUCUUUAAUUUCCUUAUUAGGCCAG